rnacentral:lncRNA from 1 species
UCGUAUGCAUCCGCCGAUGGAGUUUUCUCCUAUGCAAUAAAAUAUCCUACACUCUGAUAAUAAACAAGUUAUUCUAGUGUUUUAAGUCACAAAUAAUGGUUUUAUUACAAAAACAUGCAACACACUGCGGAAUUUCAGAUUAUUUAUUGUGAAAGUUAAUAAAUACACUAGAACUACUUCUUCAGUCCUACGCGGAAGGAGACAUUUUGAGAAUUUUCCAGCAUUAUGACGUCACGGGAAUUCCAUUGUGAAGGUAUACGUAUGACUGAAGAUACUUGCGAAUCAGUACUGUUCGGGAAUUGCGUUGCGAUGGUGCGGAGAAGAUGAGUCCUUUGUGAAAUCUGUCAUGGCGUCUGGAGGGUGUGAAUGUGAGAAGAGAACUUGUGUGACAGCGGGGGAGAACUGAUAGUAGCAGAGAUCUGAUAGUUGGAAACAACGCUUUGGUUUGUAAAUUUCUCGAUGUAAUUUUAUGCUGUUGAAUUACUGUUCUUGAUUCGUGCUGAAUUGUAUUUACGUUCCACGAAUAUUGCUUGUUCUAUUGUAACUUUCCAAUGUGUUGUAAAAUAAAAUAAAAUAUAUUGUU